rnacentral:rRNA from 1 species
GUUGUCCUACGGGACGCAGCAGUGGGGAAUCUUCCGCAAUGGGCGCAAGCCUGACGGAGCAAUGCCGCGGGAACGAAGAAGGUCUUCGGAUUGUAAAGUUCUGUCCUUAUCGAAGAGAGGGUAUAGAGUGAAAAAUGAUAUACUAGGACGGUAGAUGAGGAGGAAGCCCCGGCUAACUACGUGCCAGCAGCCGCGGUAAUACGUAGGGGGCGAGCGUUGUCCGGAAUCACUGGGCGCAAAGAGCGCGUAGGCGGGAUAGCAAGUCAGAUGUGAAAUCCUAUGGCUUAACCAUAGAACUGCAUUUG